AGUGAACGCUGGCGGUAGGCCUAACACAUGCAAGUCGAACGGCAGCACAGUAAGAGCUUGCUCUUACGGGUGGCGAGUGGCGGACGGGUGAGGAAUACAUCGGAAUCUACUUUUUCGUGGGGGAUAACGUAGGGAAACUUACGCUAAUACCGCAUACGACCUACGGGUGAAAGCAGGGAUCUUCCGGCCUUGCGCGAUUGGAUGAACCGAUGUCGGAUUAGCUAGUUGGCGGGGUAAAGGCCCACCAAGGCGACGAUCCGUAGCUGGUCUGAGAGGAUGAUCAGCCACACUGGAACUGAGACACGGUCCAGACUCCUACGGGAGGCAGCAGUGGGGAAUAUUGGACAAAGGGCGCAAGCCUGAUCCAGCCAUACCGCGUGGGUGAAGAAGGCCUUCGGGUUGUAAAGCCCUUUUGUUGGGAAAGAAAAGCAGCAGGUUAAUACCCCGCUGUUCUGACGGUACCCAAAGAAUAAGCACCGGCUAACUUCGUG
rnacentral:rRNA from 1 species